CAUUGUUAUAUUCAUUCUACCUUUUUCAUUUCUUUUGACUCCCUCUUCUUCCAGUCCCACUGCUACUGUCUAAGCUCAGGGCCUCUGAGCUGCCCUUUUAGUUUCCUGGCAUCAGUAUCCUAACCCUGCUCAUAACUCUUCUGUGGCCAUCCGAUGUUCUUACAGGAAACCCUCAACAUUUUCGCAUGGCAUUCAAAUCCUCCAUGAGGCUUCCCCUGGCUAUUUCAUCAACAUAAUAUUUUGCUGCACUCCAUCUAACCCCAGGUUUCAAGUUAUCCAGACUUUCUGUGACUCCCACAACAUCUCAAGUUGUUCCCUCCAUCUGGACUUUGCUCUCCCUAGUCUCCCUUCCAGGAAAGCUAACUUCCCUCUCUCUUCCUGUCAACACUUUCCUAUGUUGUCCUUUAAUAUUUAUGAUCCUGCCUCCACAGGAAAUCGCUAUCUUUUUAUUAUGUCCCAACUAUACUCUGUACAGAUGCCUAUGACAACAUCGAUAGCACUUUAUUACACUUAAUUUUAAAACUUUUGCAUCCCUCUAUUUGACCUGGAGGAGCAGAAAAUAUAUCAUUUUAACUGUUUGUCCUAUGCCUAGCAGUGAAAGCAUUCAGAAUAUGCUUUGGAGGAAAGGAAGGAAAUUAACACACUGAUCCUCUAUGGAGAAAAUAAAUUAGUCCAUCCUCUGAGAGAAAAGAAUAAUUCAAGGAUUCCUCAUGCACAUCAAUUCCUGAGGGAAGCAUUUCCUGAUAUUCUGCCCACACCUCUACCACCACCUAAGAUAGGGGUAAGAACAUCAUCUAGGUCACUCUCAUAUGUGAUUAUUGGAUCACAUAAACAUUAUAGUACCAUGGCCUAUUUAUGUAUCUACCUACAAUAUUGGAUAUGAAUUCUUCAUAGAUAGAAAUCAUCUGAUUCAUCUUUGAAUCUCCAGGUUCUGACAUGGAGAUUCUCAUUCAAUUAAGGUUUAUUGAACUAAACUAUAUAAGAUAAGGCAAAGCUGGUUAUAAUGCAAUAUUCAAAAUGGAAGCAUUAAAGAUAUUGUAAUGUACUUCCCAGGGUAAAGGACAACCUAAGGAGUAGUAGGCCUGGAAAAUGGGAAUAAAAAUGGCAUAGCUAAACUAUUUCUGGACCAUGGACCUUUUGACAGUCUGGAAAUGCCUUUAUACUUCUUCUCUGACAAUGUUUCAAAUACAUAGUAAAAUACGUAAUAUGACAAACUAAAGUAUUUCUUGACGAAAAUGUAGAAAAUCUUUGUGACCUUUGGUUAAGAAAAUCUUUCUCAGGACACAAAAACACAAACCAUAAGCCAAAAAAUUGACAAAUUGGACUUAGUCAAAAUUGUAAAUGUCUGCACUUCAAAAGAACUGUUAAGAAAAUGAAAUACAGGCCACACAUUGAUAAAAGAAAAACUGCAAAGCACGCACCUGAUAACUUGCAUGCAGAAUACAUAAAUAACAAAACAUUCAACUCAGUAAAAAGAAAGGCAAAGAGUUGGAACAAAUGUCCAUCAAUGAAGAUGUACAGAUGGCCAAUAAACACAUGGAAAAAUACACAAUAUCAUUAGUCAUCAGGGGAAAUAGAAAUCAAAAGUACAAAGAGAUAUCACUAUACUGCCAAUAGAAUGGUUAAAAUUAAAAGAAUUGAUAACAUUAAUCAUUGGAGACAAUACAGAACAACCAGAGCACUAAUAUGUUGUGGAUGGGAAUAUGAACAAUAGGGUUAUUUUGGAGAACAAUGUGACAGACUUUUAUAAAGUUAAACAUAUACUUACCCUAUGACCCAACAAUUCCACUCAUAGAUAUUUACUCAAGAGGAAUGAAAACAUAUGUUCACACAGCAAAUGUUAAUAGUUGUUUUAUUCACAGUAGCCAAAAUUCCAUUAACAGGAAAAUGGCUAAAAAUAUUGUGGUAUAUUCAUACAAUGGAAUACAGCUAAGCAGCAAAAAUGGACAAACUACCAAUAUAUGCAACAACACGGGUGAAUUUCAAAAUCUCAUUAUACUAAGUGGCUAAGUAAAAUAAGCCAGGCACAAUAGACUACAUGUUAUAUGGUUCAUUUAUAUGACAUUCUAGAAAAACUGUGGAAACAGAAAACAUAUCACUGGUUGCCUGUGGACUGUGAGGGAAGAGAGGCAUUGUCUACAAAGAAACAUGCGGGAAUUUUCUGCAGUGAUUGAAAAUAUCCCAAAUCUUAAUUUUGGUUGUAGAUAUACAACUUGUAUGUUUGUUAAAACUCACUGAACUGUAUACUUAAAAGGGGUCAGUAUUACUGCAUGUAAAUUAUUUUUCAAUAAAGCCUGAGUUUUUUUUAAUCUUAAAGUUUUAUCAGAGAGAAAUUAUGAGUUACUAGUUAUUAGUGUUACUAAAGCUAACUUGCCCUUUUAGAGAAUUCAAGCUCAGGUUUUCCCCCCGCCCAAAGGAAAGGCAUUUGUUCAUGCUCUAAAUACUGAGAGGAACAGAUGCAUUGGCUCAGCAACUUACUGAGUUUGUAUGCUAUUUGGAAAUUGGAUUGCUUUGAUAAAUUACUUGCUAGCCAAGAAGAGCAUUAAGGGAUUAUUUGUCCGCCAUGAUUUCAAAUUUUUCCCUAAUGAUAAAAUCAUUUGAAAUAAAAGAGUGCAGCCAAAGUAGUUUUACUUGGGAAGAUAUUAUUUCAUACAUAGACAUGUCAGAAACAGUGUAAGCAUGAAAAGGAAAUAUAUUCUAAUGUUCCCUUUUUUACUUACUUUGUUGUAAAUAAUAGCACCAAACAAUUUCAAUCCUAAAUAGCACAUACUUCAGAAUUCCCUUUAAGUGCUUAUCAUCUUAAAGACUUGAAAUCAUAUGUGGUUGUGGGUGUUGUAAACUUCACUCUUCAAUUUGAAUCUUUACUUCUCAGUUCAUUUUAAUACCUGCAUUAAUUCUAACGAUUUGGGGAGACUACUAGAUUAUAGCACUGUUUUAGCAUGUUUAUGUGCUCUAAUAUUUGCCUACUGCAUUACAUAGCACACUUUCUUUUAAUAGGACUCUAUGUGUUUUAAGAAUUUCCUUGCAAAUAAUUGAUAUUUAAAUCAAUAAGGACUCUACGUGUUUUAAGAAUUUCCUUGCAAAUAAUUGAUAUUUGAAUCAAUAAUGCAAAGAAAAAUGUUAAAAUCUUCAUAAAGGAAAUUUCUUUCAUUUAUUUGUUAAUAAAACAUUAACAUUAUCCGCCUUAUCCAAAACAAUUGUUUCUCAUGUACAGUUUAUGGAAUGAAAAGCCACUGCUUAUUUUAAAUGAGUUCCUGUGUAACUGUCAAAUUAAAUGAACUAAUUCUUACCUUUAGGCCUUUUCAACAUUUUGUCAUAACAUUAGUUGUUUUAAUGAACUGGUGGUAGAUAGUUUAGUUAUUUCCAAUUUUUUUUAUUGCGAGAAAGACCAACUAACUACCAAGUUAGCACAUAUUUUUACAUUUUUCCUUGUACAGAGUUGAGCUUCAGGUAAUUGUUUACUGUCUUUACAUGAAGCUAUUCUUUUACAUAUCUAGAUCUGCUGAUGUCUGACACACUAGCUACUGGCCACAUAGAAUUAUUGAAAUUAAUUAAAAUUAAAUUAAAAGUGUGGUGAUCCUAGAUAAAUUUCAUGUGCUCAAUAGCCACAUGUGGUUUGUGGCUAUCCUAUUGCUCAGCACAAAUAUAGAAUAUUUUUAUCAUCACAGCCGUUGUAUUACUUACUGCUUGUCUAGUCCAGGGUCAGAAAACCUUUUCUUAAAGUAUUAGAUAGUAAAUAUUUUAGGAUUUAUGGGACAAGAGGCAAAAUUGAAUCUAUCAUUUAGGUACUUAUUUAACCAUGUGAAAAAAUCAACCCAUUCAAAUAUGGAAAAACCAUUCUUCACAUGAAGGCUGUAAAAAACAGGCAAUAGGCUGGAUUCGAGCCAUAAUUUGCCUACUCGUGGUAUAGAUCAUUCAAUCCUAUAUUCAUUAAGCACAUCUUUAUUGAGCGCCUCUAUCUUUUAAGCAGUGGCCUAAAUAUUAAGCUUAGUGAACAGAGAAACAGUUCCAACUCUCCUGGGGUUCAAAACAUAACAGAAAAGACAUAUCAAAAAUUAGACAAUUAUUCAAUUGUUAUAAUUUGACAAGUACAACGAAGGAAAUGUAGAAGAUGUGCAGGGAAAACUAAACCAGCCUAAAAAUUAACUUGACCCUAAAAAUUAUCUGCAACUAAUAUUAUGUUUUAAUAUGUGCCAAGUGCUGUUUAUUUUAAACUUUCCAACUGAUCUACGUGAAAAAGAUGCUGUAUACAUUAAUGAAUCCAGCUAAUAUUUUUAAUGGAUUAAUGUUCAGAUGUAUAAUGUUCUCAUAAACCAUCUGUUCUAUAAAUCUGAAAUAAUGGUACAUCUAAUGAUAAAAAUGAUGUUUGAAAAAAUAAUAUUUGUUGAUAUUUAUAAUUUUCUUUUACUUUUCUUUAUCUAGAAUCUUUUGUAAGAAUAAAAAUGUAUGAAUUGAAUGUUUCCUUGUAAUCAGAAAAACUUGCCACAGAUUACUCCUAAUAGGGCCCGUACUUUCUAUUAAUUGCUUUAAUCAAAAUUCAAAUUGAGUUCCUCAUUAAAUAAAAUAUUGUGAUGCACAUAAAACCAGCCAACUUUGACAGACUUUUUUUAGGACACAUGACUUCUUUUUAUUUAUGAAAACUCAGUACAUAUAGUCAGCAAAGCAAAAUAAAAAUAUAUUCUCCAUGAUCCCUAUACUAGCAAUGUUCCUCAAUAUUAUAUUUGAGUUUCUUAGGCCUUUCUGGCAUUUUGCAGUUUACUUAAAUGCUGCCUUUUUAUUGUUAGUGUCAAGAACUUUAUAUAAAUCUAAAUAUUUGAUCACUGAGCAUGUGUGUGUAAGAGAGACUUGAGCAAGCAGAAAUCAUUUUAAAUUGGGCACACGCCCUAAAUGACAAAUAGGCCAAAUUGAAAUUGCUUUUAGAGAUUAAAUCAUGUGCCACAUAUCUGCUUUGUUGCAAUAAAUAAACCCCAAACUGUUAAUUAUGGCAUUUAUAUAUCAAGAUGAGGAUGAAAUAAAGAGAAUGAAAUAUUUCCCAAGGUCAUAACAUUGAAUGUUUAUUCUUCAGUUUCACUAAAAUUAACAGGCCCAGAAGUAAAUCCUUCUACUGUCUCAGAGUUACAUUGUUCUUUCCUGGUGACAAAUUAAGUGUUCCAAGAAAUUAUAAUUUGACAUUCCCUUUAUAUUUUCUUAGAACAAUGCAUGUUGGAAUGAUGCCAAGAAUAUUGGAAUUUAAAACCAAAUAAAAAAAAGUAAUGACUGAGUCCAUCAAGAAAAAAAGAUUCUGCCUCUGAAUUGCUAGCUGCAGCACUGCUUUUUGAUCACUUUUGCACAAUUCGUAGCAUAGAGCUGCUACUGUUGUUCUUUAAUACAGCUUUUUACAUAUAAAUUAGCUUCUGGUGCCCUCAAGGUAAAUGUCCUCAGUUUAUCUUUAUUGAGAAAAAAAAAGUGAUAGCCAUUUAAUUUACAGGAUUGAAGCCCUUCCACAGUAAUAAGGUCUUGCUGUCAUCUGGGGAGAAGUCAUAAGGGAUUUUGACCACUGGUGUACAUUUUCCUUGUGGAACAUGGAACUUCUAAGCAUCUGAUGAUAAAUUCGUAGAUUCUUUUAUCCUGUGCAUCCUCCAUCUUCCUCCUUCAUCUUUAGGAAGGGGCUAGGCUCCAACUCGCUCACACAAUACCAUCACCACUGAACUUGGCGGUACUCUUCCGAUGAUUUCCAUUUGUUGGAAACUUGACACAGGAAUUGGUGUUGGUGCAGAGGUGGAAGACGGACACAGUCUGCUGCUGAGGCCAUAAGAGUGUGUUGGCCUGUGGUGACCUGCCUGACAACAGACCUACUAAUUUCAUUUCAACAUGCUGACGUAUGUCUACUGUACCUCAUCAAUGGCUCUGUUCUGCAGAGCAAAAGGAAAACCUACCACAAUGCAUUUGAUUCGAUGAAGAGAUAGAACUUAGUACAGAGUUGUAUUGCUUAGAGUUUGGAAACAAACUAUAAUCAUUUUUAUUGGUAUAUGUUUGAAGUUACCACAGAGGCACAAAACUUUUUUUAAAAAAUCAAGCACACACAAAGAAACAAAAGUUGAAAGUUGUUCACUGGUAACCUAUCUUUUUAAAAAAUAGUGCUAAAGAAAGGAAUUCCUGGGAAGCAUAUAUAUAUAUAUAUAUAUAUAUAUAUAUGUGUGUGUGUAUUUAUUGUGUAUAUAUAUUUACAUUCUUAUUUUAGACAGAACUAUUCAUAUGCAUUUUAUUAAUAAAAUGUUUAGGAACCCACUUCCCACCUUCAUAUGUGUGCUUUUAACUUUUGAGCAUCAGGAGUAACAACUGAGGAAAACGUCUAAGCGUGUUAAGUCUGCUCAUACACCCUCAUUUAUCCCCCAACAAUACACACACAACCUGCAUGUAUAUACAUAAAUGGUACUUAAUGGCAUGUGAAUUUUAUCAGCUUACUCUAUUCUGUUGAAUGCUUUAAGGCACAGAUUAAUAUUCUUACAAAUUGUUUUAUAUAUUUUAAAUAUACUUUUUACUUCAAGAUAAUUUUAGACUUACAGAAAAGUAGGAAAAAGAGUUCUCAUAUACCUCUUACCCCAGUUUUCUCUAAUGUUACACCUUACAUUCCCACAGCGUGUGUGUCAAAAGUAAAAAAGAAACAUUGGAUUAUUACCAUAUUAACUUAACUCCAGACUUUAUUUGGAUUUCAACAGUUUUCCAUUAAUGUCUUCUUUCUCUUUCAUGACCUAAUUCAGAAUACCACAUUGUAUAUAGUGUUUUGUGAUUUUUUAAAAAAAUGGAUGUUUUAUAAGGUUCCACAUUUUUUAAUUCAGUGUCUUGUUUGUGCUUCUAUAUAAGCAUUUAAUGCAACAGUGUUCAUCUGAGUAUUGCUUUUGAGUGCCAAAAUACCAUGUUUUUCACACUCCAAACUCUCAGGAAGGCUUCCGAAGACAACUUGUCCCUUAUUUAUAAUACUAUAUAUUAAAGUAACUGAAAGUAUUCAAAAUAAUGCUUACUUUGUGCAGAGUCCAUGAACUCUAACCAAAAUACAUAAAUGUCAAAUUUGAGCAAUACAUUUUGAUUGAUUUUAAAAUUCCAUUUGAGGCACUACUUUUCUGAAUAGAUGCCCAAGGAAAAUAUUUUAAAAUAUUGUUGUAUUAAAAAAUUGUUUCCUAUAGAAUCUGAAAAGUUCUUUAGGUAGACUUUUAGUAAAAUGUUUGAACAGUUUAAAUGCUAUUUCAGACUGUCAGAAUGAUGAAUGUUUUUAAAUUAUUUUCAUAAUGAUUUAUCACUCCAGUUUACAGUACUUGAAAAAUUUUUUUCGCUUCACCUAAAUAACUGGCAUUUUUGUGUUAUGUUCUUUUCCUCGUUUUAUACUCUGCUCUGAAGCACUUUCAAAUUAAAAAAAGAACAGUAUUGUAUUCUAGGGCCAUUAGUGAAUGUGCAUGAGCUAUUAUAGUCAAUGAAAUAAGCAUUAUAUGAUUGAAGAUUAACUAAGAAAAUGGAUUAUGGUGUAAUUAAAAACACCAAGAUAGGCGGGAUGCAGUGGUUUAUGCCUGUAAUCCCAGCACUUUAAGAGACCAAGGCAGGCAGAUUACCUGAGGUUAGGAGUUCGAGACCAGCCUGGCUAACAUGGCGAAACUCUGUCUCUACUAAAAAUACAAAAAUUAGCCGAGCGUGGUGGCAGGCGUCUGUAGUCCCAGCUACUUGGGAGGCUGAGGCAGGAGAAUUGCCUGAACCCAGGAGGAGGAGGUUCCAGUGAGCCUAGAUCAUGCCACUGUACUCCAUCCUGGGUGACAAGAGCAAGACUCUUGUCUCAAAAAAACAAAACAAAACAAAACAAAAACACCAAGAUAUUCCUGGAAAAGCUAUGAAAAUAUGUUUUUCAGUUAAGGGGAAGCACUUAUCAAUGCUGCCAGUCCUGGUAAAGAUUGUCAACUCUAACAUAAUAUAAAGCAGGCAUUUCUUGUAAUAAAUAUGAAGAGGAUAUUAGCCUUGAUCUUAGCAUAACUCUCUUCCAGGUAGGACUCCAGCUUCUGAAAGUAAUUUUGUAAUGCUCAUCAACUGAAGAUGACUGUAAAGCUUGGCACCAGUUCCUGGAGGCAGCCAUGUUUCUGAUUAAAGUCUGGGCCUAGAGAGCUGUAUGGAAAGGUUUGGAAUAGAGGUGAUUUAGCCUAAAGAAAAUUGCUAAACCAUGGGUUACACACUGGUGGCCUGUAGUCCUAUUUUGUUAGACACAGACAAUGGAUUUUAUUUGUUUUUCAUAUUUGAAUUAAUUUCUGAAUUCUUGAAUAUUGGCAGAUUAUGCUACAGGAAUCUAAAUUACUCUCAUUUCUGCAUGUCAUUAAAAAAGUAGAGAUGAGUAGCAGGCCCCUUUUCCCUGGGGCAUGUGCUUCCCAGCUACAUACACAGCACCCACCACACCAGAGUUUCCCUACCUGGCAACUACCAGUUAUCAUCACUCCUUAAGCAGCUGUUUUCUUACAGUGAAGAAGUUCCGUUUCCAUGGUGCUAUCAAAAGUAAGAAAAGGAACUAUAGUUUGAGAGGCUGUGUUCUUAACCCAUUGAUGCUCCUAAUGGGCCCUGAAGAUAUUUGACCUUGUGACCAUGUGUAAUAAGGUGAUACAUGUUCAUCAAAUUGUGGUGUCCUCCUCCCCUGACUUUCAAAUGGAAUUCAGAUACAAUUUUUACCCUUAUUACGAUUACCUACAAUUAUAAUUAUGCUACUUCUAAGUAUAUGACCUGGGGCAAGUUUCUUGACCUCUCUAUGCCUCACAUUCCUCAACCAUAAAUAGGGGAUAAAAAUAGUACCUAUAUCAUAGAGUUGUCAAAAGAAUUACAUGAGUUAAUGUGUGGAAAGCACUGAAGAUAGUGCCUGGUAAAUACAAUGUACCAUGUAAGUGUUCACUGUUGCAGUCCUCAUUUAUUUUCUGAUUAUACUAACAUUUCACUUAUUCUGUGUUGCUCAUGUCACCUCCUAAUUUGUAAGUGACUGGUAGAAAGAAACUUGUCCCAAGGGUAUCUGACCUUCACCCACACUCAGCACUUCCAUCAGUCUGCAUCAGUUUUAGGGCCUGGAGAUGUAUUUGCACAUAUUGAAGGAGGUAAAUAACUACAGUGAAUAAGAUAACAUUCAGAAAUUCAGGACUGCGACCUUAGAGAUCAUCUAGUCCAGGAGUUGGCAAGCUUUUUCUGUAUGGGACCAGACUGUAAAUAUUUUGGCUUUGUGGCCAUAUUGUCUCUGUGGCAACUACUCAACUCUGCUGGUGCAAUGCAAAAGAAGCCAUGGGUUAUAUGGAAUGAAUAGGUGUGGCUGUGUUCCAAUAACACUUUAUUUAUAGACACUGAAAUUUGAAUUGCAUAUAAUUUUCACAUGUCAUUAAAUAUUAUUCUUCUUUUGAUUUUUUUUCAACCUUUUAAAAAUGUAAAAACCAUUCUCAGCUCUGGGCUAUAAAAAACAGGUGGAAGAUUUCACCCAGGAAUUCCACCUGGGGAUUUUUGUUGAACAGUGAAGCUACCUGGGCCCCACUCCAAACCCAUUGAAUAAAAAUCUCUGGGUGGUGGGGCAAUGGAAUCUGUGCUGUGAACAUGCGUGUGAUCCCUACCAGUGUGGCUCUAGGGACCACACUUUAAGAAACUACCCAAGUGUGGAGACUUUAUGGCCCUCCUCACAGAUCUAAAAAUGAUUUAUUAAGGUUGGUUAUAACAAGUACCACACUGCAAAUAUGAAUAUGAUCACUUUUGUCUUAAAUUACUUAAAUUUACUCUUCACAUUCUCUUAUUUUUAUUAUCAAAAUUUCUUGUAGACAAAGGUCAUUAUUUUCUUCUACUAUGUUUAAGGAAUGUGACAGCACCUUGAACUUACCCUAAAAUCACUGUACAUUAGAGAAAUCCUAUUUCAUGUUUUCAUCAAUGUGGGAAUAUGUGCAUGUUUAGUGACAUUCUUUGUGGUGGCAAAAAGUAAAAUAAACUCUGAAAAUAA